GUCCUUAUUUUUUUUAUUUUUGUUCUUAGCCUUUUUGUAGAAUUUUUUUUGUUUUCAAUUUCACCAUUUAAUCUCAAUUUAUGAUAUAUUAUUUGUUUUUGAUAUUGUCCUUAUUCUUUUGAUUUUUAUUUUUUUUCCCUUCCAUAAAAUCUUUAUUUGUUUUCAAUUUUAUCCUUCAAUCCCAAUUUGUGAUUUAUUGUUUUCAUUUUAAUUCGGUCCUCACUCUUUUUGAUUUUUUUA
rnacentral:lncRNA from 1 species